GGAAGCUUGAACAGGGCCAGGCUCUGGAGAGAAUGUUCUUCUGGGUGGCAGUUGGGUAAGGGGGUAAGGCAGGCCUUUCAGGAGGCAGCCUUCACCCCAGGACGUCAGCUGGAGUGGUACUAUGGACUGACCAGUUGACUGAUCAGUUGAGUGGACUCAGCUGGAGUGGUACUAUGUGAGAUGGAUGGGUGGACUUGGGAUACAAAGCCUGCAAAUGAUGUCUACCAACCAUGCCAGUUUGUUCUCUUACAGAGAGGUGUGCCCUGAACCUGCAGGAGGGACUGAGGUGUCUAACAUUCCAACCGUCCCAGCUGGAAUACAGGGUUGGAGCUGAACUUCCAAGGAGCCUGACCCCAGGCAUGCUUGGAUGACCACCUCUACCAUCAAGACCUGACACGGUGCAAAAGGCACCAGGGGCCAUGGCUGGAGGUGGCCACCCCUCAGUCCUGUACAGAUUCUGUACCCACUGGCUGGAGACCCCCAUGCAGCUGUCUCCUGCUCUUGCUGCGGGGAGACUGAACUCAGGGCUCUGCUCACUGGCUCCCUCCCAAUGGAAGCCUUCUCUGGGCUUCACAGCAUUGAAUAUUCCUCCAGAACAGCUUGUUAAAUCAAAUUUUUUUUUUUUUAGAUGGAGUCUUGCUCUGUCGCCCAGGCUGGAGUGCAGUGGCACGAUCUUGGCUCACUGCAAACUCCGCCUCCCGGGUUUAAGCGAUUCUCCUGCCUCGGCCUCCCGAAUAGCUGGGACUACAGGUGCUACCACACCCAGUAAUUUUUGUAUUUUUAGUAGAAACGGGGAUUCACUAUGUUGGCCAGGCUAGUCUCGAACUCCUGACCUCAUGAUCUGCCCUUCUGGGCCUCCCAAAGUGCUGGGAUUACAGGCAUGAGCCACCGCACCCGGCCU
rnacentral:lncRNA from 1 species